rnacentral:rRNA from 1 species
GACGAACGCUGGCGGCGUGCCUAAUACAUGCAAGUCGAGCGAAUCACUGGGAGCUUGCUCCCGGUGGUUAGCGGCGGACGGGUGAGUAACACGUGGGCGACCUGCCUGUAAGACUGGGAUAACACCGGGAAACCGGUGCUAAUACCGGAUAAUCCUUUUCCUCUCAUGAGGAAAAGCUGAAAGUCGGUUUCGGCUGACACUUACAGAUGGGCCCGCGGCGCAUUAGCUAGUUGGUGAGGUAACGGCUCACCAAGGCGACGAUGCGUAGCCGACCUGAGAGGGUGAUCGGCCACACUGGGACUGGGACACGGCCCAGACUCCUACGGGAGGCAGCAGUAGGGAAUCUUCCACAAUGGACGAAAGUCUGAUGGAGCAACGCCGCGUGAGCGAUGAAGGCCUUCGGGUCGUAAAGCUCUGUUGUUAGGGAAGAACAAGUACCGGAGAAACUACCGGUACCUUGACGGUACCUAACCAGAAAGCCACGGCUAACUACGUGCCAGCCGCCGCAGUAAUAC